AGAUGUACACAGGGGUGCCUGAAACUGUUCCGGAUCACAUCCUGCCGUAAGCGGCAGCGGUACGGUUUUUGAAACGGCUGAGACGUAUGUGUCUUCAUACGAACCCUUUUAACUUGAUCCGGGUAAUGCCGGCGUAAGGAAAGGAGAAUUUCAUAAU
rnacentral:ncRNA from 2 species